rnacentral:rRNA from 1 species
CCUACGGGGGGCAGCAGUGGGGAAUAUUGCACAAUGGGCGCAAGCCUGAUGCAGCCAUGCCGCGUGUGUGAAGAAGGCCUUCGGGUUGUAAAGCACUUUCAGCGGGGAGGAAGGCGGUGAGGUUAAUAACCUCAUCGAUUGACAUUACCCGCAGAAGAAGCACCGGCUAACUCCGUGCCAGCAGCCGCGGUAAUACGGAGGGUGCAAGCGUUAAUCGGAAUUACUGGGCGUAAAGCGCACGCAGGCGGUCUGUCAAGUCGGAUGUGAAAUCCCCGGGCUCAACCUGGGAACUGCAUUCGAAACUGGCAGGCUAGAGUCUUGUAGAGGGGGGUAGAAUUCCAGGUGUAGCGGUGAAAUGCGUAGAGAUCUGGAGGAAUACCGGCGGCGAAGGCGGCCCCCUGGACAAAGACUGACGCUCAGGUGCGAAAGCGUGGGGAGCAAACAGGAUUAGAUACCCCGGUAGUC